rnacentral:misc_RNA from 1 species
AGAAUAAAGUGAAAGUCAUUCCGACGAACUGUUACACAAGUAUUUGGUAGACCUGAAAUCAUUUUGAUUGGUCAACAGAAUACAGUCCAUCAUGGAGUACGUCGGUACUACCAAAGGUGACGAAAAUGACAAAUGUUGUAAUUCAACUUUAUGUCCAGAAAUAGUAGCCAAUUCUAUGUCAGAUGAGAAUGCAUCAGAAAAAAUAAAUGUAGUCAGAACAGAUGAAGAAAAUGCUAGUGUACAACAGCAACAAGAACAUACCGAAGAUGCAGCUGCUGCUACAACAUCACAAACUAUAUCAGAAGAAAAAAUAGACUUUAAAGUAAUCUACAACAAACAGAAGAUAAAUGUUAAUUUUGCAUUAGAUGGGACCGUGGCUGAAUUGAAAACGCAUCUUCAAAAUAUUAUUUCAGUGCCCCAUGUAAUGCAGAAAGUUAUGUUUAAAGGAUUAGCCAAAGAUGAACAAACUCUUAGAAACUUGGGAGUUACAAAAGGUGCCAAAGUCAUGAUAGUAGGAUCAAAACUAGAUGACAUAUUAGCCGUAUCUAUUCCGUCAAAGCAAGAUCUCGCUGAUGAAGCUAGUUCUGCUGCAAGUAAGGAACCUUUAUCGCAACAAAAAGUACACCGUAAAGUUCUAGAUAAAGGUAUGCCGGAUGAUGUCAUGCCUGGUAUUUUAGAUAGUAAGGAACCACUACCUGAAUUUCCUAUCUCAGGUAUGUUGAAUAAAUCUGGUGGAAAGGUUAGACUUACAUUUAAAUUAGAACAAGAUCAGCUUUGGAUCGGUACAAAAGAAAGAACAGAUAAACUACCUAUGAACUCAAUAAAAGGUGUCAUUAGCGAACCAAUAACUGAUCAUCCAGAGUAUCAUAUUAUGGGUAUACAAUUAGGCACAACAGAAGCAUCAAGAUAUUGGAUAUACUGGGUUCCGGCACAAUACGUAUCAGCCAUCAAAGAUGCUAUUCUUGGAAAAUGGUGUUAUUUCUGAUCAAGUGCAAAUGGAAAUUUUGUUUUCUCGGAAAACAAUGUGUAAUCGAGUGUAAACAUUGACACAAAUACGAUUGUGCUAGUCACACACUUUUAACAGAAGAAGCGAAGAAAGAAGUUAUGAUGUUGCAUUUACUGACAUUUGAAGUUCGUCGAGAAAUAUUUCAUCUGAUUGUCAUAAUUGUGGACAUUUUUUAAUCAAUUGUUUACUUAUCAAAAAUCAAUUUAUUAGACAUUUGAAACAA